CCUCCGCCCGCUGCUGGAACACCAAUAGCAGCGUUGGAGCCUCUGGGCCGGAGGAACUGGGGCCUCCACCGACACCUGCUUCUUCCCUCACCUCGCAGCCUUCCACACCUGUUGAUCUGACCUCUGCCCCGCUGCCGCCCAGGAGUAACCUAAGGCUUUUGGCCUGAUUCGAGCUCACUCCGUCUAAACCUCUAAAUGCGGUGCGAAAAAAUCCUGGGGAAUGUGCCAUGCAAAGCCUGGGCAUUUCAAGUGCUUUUCUGGAUUCGCAUCAACUCCUCUUUACAGGCAUCUUUAUCCGGAAUUCAGCUCGUCCCAAACCCCACGUGGUGUAGCUCUGCUUGUGUUUUUGAAUCCCGGGGCCUCUUUGAAUCAGAAGCCCUUUGUAUAGAGAUAAGUAUCCUUUAGGCCAGAAUCAGCCUCCAUUUUUUUCGCAGUCCCAUUUCCUACCCGUAAUACUUUCUUCUGAUUUUAAAGCCAUUUGAUAGAGAAGGGACAGGGAACAGAACCUUCGCCCCCCGCCUGAGCAGCUGGUAGACUAGAUAUCUUCCAAACAUUAUCUCAUUUACUUCCCUGGAGUUACAAAUAGGUAGAUUUCAUGUCCGUUGAGGGGUGAGAAAGCUGAAACUUUGAGACUUAAGAAUCCUGGCCGAGGUCAGCCUCCUCCGAAGCUUCAUCUCUUGCCACCACUUUCUGGUGCACACCUAGGACAGAUUUCAAUCCCUGAGAUCCCAGGAUGAAACCUAUGUUUGCCAAAUACCAGCUACUGUGCCAGAAGAGAUCAUGGAACCAGGUGUGGAAAGCUGCUUGAGAAGAGGAGCCAAAACAUCAUAGUUGAACCGUCCUGGAAUAGAAUGCGUAUGAGAGUUCCAGUUCCUCUGCUUCCUCACCAACAGUUGACUCGCCCUGAAUUCUUUCUUGUGUGAAAUCCAAGAGCCCUCUCUUGGGGUUGGAUCGGGACCCUGUUCCUGUAACAAGUCCACAAUGCCAGAGAAUUAAAGAGAACCACAAAGCUGAACCUCAAAAAGUUAGCCUGGCGAGGGGAGGAUGAUGAGAUUUCCCCUGUUGUCACAUAAACAAGGAAGUAAAGGGGGCCCCUUGUGCUCUCAGAACUCCAAGCAUGAAACGAUUUUCUGCCAUUUCAGUUCCUGUUAUCGUGCUUUGAGGUGCACUGAACUGCAGCAAACCCAGGGGAUCCAAGGCUACGUUGAAAAGCCUUUGACCACAGUGCAGGGAGCAGAAGACAUUAAUGACGUGAUGUCGACACAGCCCGCACUCAGGAUCCUCCAGGAAAAGAACACAGAGAUAACCCCGGAUCGAUGGUACUUUUUGAAAAUGCUUUAUUGCAAAAGAGUGGCUAGGGUU
rnacentral:lncRNA from 1 species